rnacentral:rRNA from 1 species
CUACGGAAGGCAGCAGUGAGGAAUAUUGGACAAUGGGCGCAAGCCUGAUCCAGCCAUGCCGCGUGCAGGAAGACGCAUCUAUGGUGUGUAAACUGCUUUUGUACAGGAAGAAACAUCCCGACGUGUCGGGACUUGACGGUACUGUAAGAAUAAGGAUCGGCUAACUCCGUGCCAGCAGCCGCGGUAAUACGGAGGAUCCAAGCGUUAUCCGGAAUCAUUGGGUUUAAAGGGUCCGUAGGCGGUUUAAUAAGUCAGUGGUGAAAUCUGGUCGCUCAACGAUCAAACGGCCAUUGAUACUGUUAGACUUGAAUUAUAAGGAAGUAACUAGAAUAUGUAGUGUAGCGGUGAAAUGCUUAGAUAUCACAUGGAAUACCAAUUGCGAAGGCAGGUUACUACUUAUGGAUUGACGCUGAUGGACGAAAGCGUGGGGAGCGAACAGGAUUAGAUACCCUUGUAGUCCG